rnacentral:tRNA from 1 species
CCUUCGGUAGCUCAGCGGUAGAGCGGAGGACUGUAGAUCCUUAGGUCGCUGGUUCAAAUCCGGCUCGAAGGA